rnacentral:rRNA from 1 species
GACGAACCGGGCAAACGUUAUUCGGAAUCACUGGGCUUAAAGGGUGCGUAGGCGGCCCUGUAAGUUGGGUGUGAAAUCCCUCGGCUCAACCGAGGAAUUGCGUCCAAAACUACAGGGCUUGAGGGAGACAGAGGUGAGCGGAACUGAUGGUGGAGCGGUGAAAUGCGUUGAUAUCAUCAGGAACACCAGUGGCGAAGGCGGCUCACUGGGUCUCUUCUGACGCUGAGGCACGAAAGCUAGGGGAGCAAACGGG